GUUCCACUGUUAUCUGAUAUUUUUUUUCUCUCUAAUUAUCACUAUCAUUUUCUACUCAAAAGCUGUUACCAACUCAAAACAGAUAAAGCAUACCUACUGCAGUUGCAAUUCUGUGUAAGUCAUGGAAACCAAUGGUGACUGCGAGGCUGAGGACCAUCAGCAACCAAUUGACAUCUGGAAUGUAGACCUGGAUUGAUUUCUUUGAGAAA
rnacentral:misc_RNA from 1 species